CACUAAUCUACUGAGAAGUGGGCAUGCUGGACCAUAGGCAGCCAGCAGUUCGCAGCACAUUGGGGUGCUCCCAUGGCCUGCAGAGAAGAGGGCUACAUGAGACAAGUGUCCCCCUCCAGAGCUUCAAAUGGACCUGAAGCUCCAUGCUUCUCCCCGUGGGAACAAGCUCAAUUUUGUGCUUUGGUCUAAAGAGAGAUCAAGAAGCACUACCAGAACCAGAGCCAGAAAGGAAUGGGUAAUGGGCAAGAUAAGUGAAACAUCAACAUUGCAACAUGGCACCGAUUCAGGAUGCACCAUUGGAUAUUGGACUCAUCAGGCCUUUAGGACACAAGCCAG
rnacentral:lncRNA from 1 species